rnacentral:lncRNA from 1 species
AUCGCCGCCGACUACCCGCCGCCGUGCCUCCUUUCCCGCGCCGAAGCUCCGGUAAGCCUCGACCCUAUUUUGGCCCUGUUUUUGGGCGUGCCGGACCGGAGCUCGCGGUCGUCCAGUUCACACGAGCUCCAGCCCCGACCAUCCUUUGUCCAGCUACUGUGUGUAUCGUUGUCAGUUUGUCGAGAGUUCCGUCGAGAAUCCCGGUUGAAGUUGAGCCGGAAACCUCAUGAUUCGCGAGCCCCCUUCACCCGUUCGACGAAAUGCUCAAGCGAGAUCUAGUUUUCAUCCUCCCGUUUUUGGUCGAAACCGAGUCGUCCGUGCACGCCGUGAUCUAUGGGAAUGUUCCAGUGGUGUUGGGCGACCUUGGGCGUCGGCCGUGUAGUCGUUCGCCACUUUUCCAUCGUCGC